GGCUGUUGUUGACUUAUUUCAGAACGGGAGAAGAAACUGUCUUUCUUAAUCAACAAUCCAGCUCAAAAAUCCAAGCAGAUUAGUUUGAGAGAGUAGUCAACAUAAAAGAUGGGGAAACUGAAGACCAGAGAAUUAAGAAAGUUCCUAACUACACACAGAUGUAAACAGUGCCCCAUCUCUUCACUUCCUGGACGUGGAUGGUGCUUCACCCCACUUACCUCCUUCAGAUGUCUAGAGCUGGAUUCUAAGCCUACAAAGUAAAGGGAUGAGACAGUAUCUCUGCCUUUAA